rnacentral:rRNA from 1 species
CCUACGGGUGGCAGCAGUGAGGAAUAUUGGUCAAUGGACGAGAGUCUGAACCAGCCAAGUAGCGUGAAGGAUGACUGUCCUAUGGGUUGUAAACUUCUUUUAUAUGGGAAUAAAAUGUUCCACGUGUGGGAUUUUGUAUGUACCAUAUGAAUAAGGAUCGGCUAACUCCGUGCCAGCAGCCGCGGUAAUACGGAGGAUCCGAGCGUUAUCCGGAUUUAUUGGGUUUAAAGGGUGCGUAGGUGGUUAAUUAAGUCAGCGGUGAAAGUUUGUGGCUCAACCAUAAAAUUGCCGUUGAAACUGGUUGACUUGAGUAUAUUUGAGGUAGGCGGAAUGCGUGGUGUAGCGGUGAAAUGCGUAGAUAUAAGGAGGAACACCAGUGGCGAAGGCGGUCUGCUGGACAGCAACUGACGGUGAGGCGCGAAAGCGUGGGGAGCAAACAGGAUUAGAUACCCUAGUAGUC